CUUAACACAUGCAAGUCGAGGGGCAGCAUGAACAUAGCUUGCUAUGUUGAUGGCGACCGGCGCACGGGUGCGUAACACGUAUCCAAUCUGCCCGUCACUCGGGGAUAGCCUUCUGAAAGGAAGAUUAAUACCCGAUGGGAUGCAUUUCCGGCAUCGGAGAUGCAUUAAAGAUUUAUCGGUGACGGAUGAGGAUGCGUACGAUUAGCUGGUUGGCGGGGUAACGGCCCACCAAGGCAACGAUCGUUAGGGGGACUGAGAGGUUAACCCCCCACAUUGGUACUGAGACACGGACCAAACUCCUACGGGAGGCAGCAGUGAGGAAUAUUGGUCAAUGGACGCAAGUCUGAACCAGCCAUGCCGCGUGCAGGAUGACGGCUCUAUGAGUUGUAAACUGCUUUUGUAUGAGGGUAAUAUCAGGUACGUGUACCUGCUUGAAAGUAUCAUACGAAUAAGGAUCGGCUAACUCCGUG
rnacentral:rRNA from 1 species